CCUACGGGGGGCAGCAGUGAGGAAUAUUGGUCAAUGGGCGGGAGCCUGAACCAGCCAAGUCGCGUGAGGGAAGACGGUCCUACGGAUUGUAAACCUCUUUUGCCGGGGAGCAACGGGGUCCUUGCGAGGGCCCAAUGGGAGUACCCGGAGAAAAAGCAUCGGCUAACUCGGUGCCAGCAGCCGCGGUAAUACGGAGGAUGCGAGCUGUAUCCGGAUUUAUGGGGGUGAAAGGGUGCGAAGGCGGGCUGUUAAGUCAGCGGUAAAAUGUCGGGGCUCAACCCCGGCCUGCCGUUGAAACUGGCGUCCUCGAGUGGGCGAGAAGUAUGCGGAAUGCGUGGUGUAGCGGUGAAAUGCAUAGAUAUCACGCAGAACUCCGAUUGCGAAGGCAGCAUACCGGCGCCCUACUGACGUUGAGGCACGAAAGCGUGGGUAUCGAACAGGAUUAGAUACCCUGGUAGUC
rnacentral:rRNA from 1 species